AAAUUGAAGAGUUUGAUCAUGGCUCAGAUUGAACGCUGGCGGCAGGCCUAACACAUGCAAGUCGAACGGUAACAGGAAGCAGCUUGCUGUUUCGCUGACGAGUGGCGGACGGGUGAGUAAUGUCUGGGAAACUGCCUGAUGGAGGGGGAUAACUACUGGAAACGGUAGCUAAUACCGCAUAACGUCGCAAGACCAAAGAGGGGGACCUUCGGGCCUCUUGCCAUCGGAUGUGCCCAGAUGGGAUUAGCUAGUAGGUGGGGUAACGGCUCACCUAGGCGACGAUCCCUAGCUGGUCUGAGAGGAUGACCAGCCACACUGGAACUGAGACACGGUCCAGACUCCUACGGGAGGCAGCAGUGGGGAAUAUUGCACAAUGGGCGCAAGCCUGAUGCAGCCAUGCCGCGUGUAUGAAGAAGGCCUUCGGG
rnacentral:rRNA from 1 species